rnacentral:RNase_P_RNA from 1 species
CCAGGGGGCCGGGCAGCCGCGGGGUUCGCAAGAACCGCGAGGAAAGUCCGGGCUCCACGAAACAAGGGUGGCGGGUAACGCCCGCCGGGCGAGUUGCUUGCAGCGAAGCCCAGGGAAAGUGCCACAGAGAGCAGACCGCCUCAUUCAUGAGGUAAGGGUGAAAGGGUGCGGUAAGAGCGCACCGGGGGCCUGGUAACAGGCACCGCACGGCAAACCCCACCCGGAGCAAGACCGAAUAGGGGCGGCGCGCACUUCGGUGCAGGUCAGUUUCGGACCCGACCGCCCGGGUUGGUUGCUUGAGCCUGGUGGCGACACCAGGCCUAGAGGAAUGGCUGCCAGUGCGGAUACGGUCUCUUGUGGGAUACCGUCCGCGCUACAGAACCCGGCUUACAGGCCCCCUGGCAAA